rnacentral:rRNA from 1 species
AUACAGAGGGGGCAAGCGUUGUUCGGAAUUACUGGGCGUAAAGGGCGCGUAGGCGGCCUGCUAAGUCGAACGUGAAAUCCCUGGGCUCAACCCAGGAACUGCGUCCGAUACUGGUUGGCUUGAAUCCGGGAGAGGGAUGUGGAAUUCCAGGUGUAGCGGUGAAAUGCGUAGAUAUCUGGAGGAACACCGGUGGCGAAGGCGGCAUCCUGGACCGGUAUUGACGCUGAUGCGCGAAAGCCAGGGUAGCAAACGGG